rnacentral:lncRNA from 1 species
CUUUUCUAAAUGUGUACAAAUGCACUGAUGCUAAAUGUAGAGACUCUAAAUCCUCCCAUACGUAUACUAUCAAGGUGCCUUUGGGGUCCAAACCUGAGACCACUGGUUUGCAAGUUAAGACAUUUUUUACUAAACUAGACCUCGUUGGCACUCAAUUGCUUUCUAAUACAGAGGUGAUUGUUAAUUUUGUUUGCCUCUAUGCUUGGUUUUUUUUAAUAAAAAAU